rnacentral:lncRNA from 1 species
GCCCCCUCCCUCUCAAUCUCUCCUUCUCUCAUGUGCUUGGAAUAUGCUCAGGGUUAACUCAGAGCAACCGAAGCACGCGUAAUGAACUGAGUAUUAGCGGCAAUUUUAAAGGAAGGGACGGCCGUGGACGGCUGGAUAUUUGGCGGACUGUCCACCGGGUCCCACACAGCAUUUCUCCUACCUGGGAUGAUUUCUGAUUGCAUAUGCCGAUUGCGGUGAUGCUUCUCGCGCAGUUUGAGAAAGUAAGUGCAACUUUGGUGAGUCUCCUUUGACUGUGCGUAAAGCCAAUGCAGUUUGAUGUGCUUAAAGCCAAUGCAGUUUGAUGUGCGUAAAGCCAAUGCAGUCGGAUGUGCGUAAAGCCAAUGCAGUCGGAUGUGCGUAAAGCCAAUGCAGUCUGAUGUGCGUAAAGCCAAUGCAGUCGGAUGUGCGUAAAGCCAAUGCAGUCUGAUGUGCGUAAAGCCAAUGCAGUCGGAUGUGCGUAAAGCCAAUGCAGUCUGAUGUGCGUAAAAGUUAGAGUGAAGUUGAAUGACUCCGUGAAUAAUAGACAACAUUAAUUUGGUUCUUAUCGGCUAGUGGACGUGAUGUAGGCCUAUAUAAAUAUGUUGUUCUAGCUGAGGAAGACCAUCUAGGCUAUGAUUAGUGUUAGGCAGGUCGGAGGUAUGUUUAGGCAGGUCGGAGGUGAAGUUCAAGGCAGUGCUUCGUUGGACUAGUGCUCUGCCCUGGCACAUACAUGUUGGCACGUUCGUUUAUUUUGUAGCCUACUGAAUUAACUGAAAUAAAUAAGCAGGAUGAAAACUCGGAGCUUUAUUCAGACUGGUGGCGUGAGCUUGUCGCAACCUGUCACACUCACAGUAGCCAACGCCUCUCAAUGCAUUGGGCCAAAGUGCACAUUGCGCAAUCAAAUCAAAUCAAAUCAAAUGUAUUUAUAUAGCCCUUCCUACAUCAGCUGAUAUCUCAAAGUGCUGUACAGAAACCCUGCCUAAAACCCCAAACAGCAAGCAAUGCAGGUGUAGAAGCACGUUUUGUUGGUAAAAGGGUUGGAGAAAUAUGGCCCUGAUUCCCCUUGCUCAGGAGAGAGACCAAAUGGACAUGUCUGUCUGGGACUUUGCCUACUGCUGAACCAACAUGAGCUCAGGUGAGAGAGGAGUCAUCAGGAGCCAGACAGAGAGAACCAGGAUAACGGCUGACGUGGCCAUGUGUUAAGGAUGGCCCACAGAUCGCAGAGAUGGAGCAUCUAUCUGUGUGACCCUUUACUGUUGUCUCUAGUGGAGCUCGAGACAUGGACUUCCAUCACCACCUGAACAUCAACAUGCACAACCGUCAAGAUACAGUAUGCUGAGAAGACAGAUACAGAACUCUGCUAUUUAUCAUCAGCAUGCAUACAUCUGUUCUAGAUACACAGAAACCACCAAAUAUACACUAACAUCCUUUGAAUCAAGUCAGUGUUUUGUAUCAUUGUGAUUUAAAUCUUGUUUGUUGUAAAACUGUUUACCAUAUGUCUACUCACUGGGAUGUAAAAGUACAACAUUAUUUAUUCUGAAUUGUAAAAGUCUGUAUUGGACCUGGCAUAUUGGUAUAUUGGAUUUUGAAUGAACCUGCCCUUAGAAUACAGCAUGACAUCAGAAGGGAACCCGCAGAGCACAUUGUCUUUAUCUGACAUUGACUGAAUUUAUAGAAAAAGUAAACCUCAAUGGGAAUAUUUUUCUACUUUCUCAAAUCACUGAAUUUCCUCAAUGAACGGAAUAAAGUAUAUUCAAGAAUAUCUUGUUUCUGACUUUUUUACAGUAUGUCUACAGUAGACCUACUGUAUAUACCUUUGACAUGAUUAGAUCCUCUGUGGGAUCAAUGUGGAAUGGGUGCUGAUUAAAAUAAAACAACAUGGCUGACAUGGCUGUAGCAGUUCCUGAUUGACCCUGAUAUUUCUCAGAAUGAAACAUACAGUUUGCAUACAGUACAAAUAAACGACAUACAUGUUACAUUUACCUUGUCAAUGUGUUACCAUAUUAUGUCAAAUUAGAUACAACUGUAAAAUCUAAAAUGGAAAAGAUACUAGCUAUGGUCACUACCUGAAGCACCUUGACAACCAGGGCAAGCUUUGUAGCCUUCUACACAUUUUGUGUUUGUGUUUGCUAGCAGAAUGCAUCUUCUACUUUUUUCCUUCUCUGUCACAAUGUUUGCCUUAAUUUUGUUGUUUUGUUCUACAUGAAGAAGGUUCAAAGUUUUCAUUCCCACUUCCUCUGUUACCUGCCUGUCACUUUCCUUCUCCUGACAAACAAUAUCUCUCCUCACCUGUCUCCCAACCCCCACUUCCUCUGUUUCCGGCCUGUCUCACUUCUUCUCCUGACAAAAUGUUUCUCUCCUCACUUUUCUCCCUUCCCUCUGUCUCACUCAUCAUAUAUCCUUCUCCUCCACUCUCUCUACUUUUUCUCUCUCCUUCUCAAUCCCAUUAAACCUUUCCCUCCCUCCCUCCCUCCCUCCC